AGCAGCCGCGGUAAUUCCAGCUCCAAUAGCGUAUAUUAAAGUUGCUGCAGUUAAAAAGCUCGUAGUUGAAUUUCGGGGUCAAUAUGUUGGUCGUGCCUUGGUACGUACUAGCUUAUUGAUUUCUCCUUUCUGACGAACCAUGAUGUCAUUUAAUUUGGUGUCAGUGGGGAAUCGAGGUACUUGUUUACUUUAAG
rnacentral:rRNA from 1 species